AACGUAGGAGGCAAGCGUUAUCCGGAUUUACUGGGCGUAAAGCGCGUGCAGGCGGUGGGCUAAGUCGUGCGUGAAAGCUCCCAGGCUCAACCGGGAGAGGUCGUGCGAGACUGGCACACUGGAGACAGAGAGAGGCAAGUAGAAUUCCGGGUGUAGUGGUGAAAUGCGUAGAUAUCCGGAGGAAUACCAGUGGCGAAGGCGACUUGCUGGCUCUGAUCUGACGCUCAGACGCGAAAGCAUGGGGAGCGAA
rnacentral:rRNA from 1 species